rnacentral:rRNA from 1 species
GACGAACGCUGGCGGCGUGCUUAACACAUGCAAGUCGAGCGGUAAGGCCCUUCGGGGUACGACGAGCGGCGAACGGGUGAGUAACACGUGAGCAAUCUGCCCAUCACAUCGGGAUAACUCCGGGAAACCGAAGCUAAUACCGAAUACGACCACUUCAGGCAUCUGACGGUGGUGGAAAGUUCCGGCGGUGAUGGAUGAGCUCGCGGCCUAUCAGCUAGUUGGUGAGGUAACGGCCCACCAAGGCUUCGACGGGUAGCCGGCCUGAGAGGGUGACCGGCCACACUGGGACUGAGACACGGCCCAGACUCCUACGGGAGGCAGCAGUGGGGAAUAUUGGACAAUGGGCGAAAGCCUGAUCCAGCAACGCCGCGUGAGGGAUGACGGCCUCGGUGU